UCAGCCGAGUCUAUCUCUCUUUUUAUUUUUCAUCGAAGGCUGUCUAGGUUCCAAGAGAAGAGAAAUGUUUUCCUCAUCAAUACAGUUUAAUCGAAACCCAUCUUCAAUAGAUUGUAGGUUUCAACAAAUCGUAUUUUUUCUCAUCAAUAUUGUAGUCGAAUCAAACCCCAUCUUCAAAACCGAUAUGAGUUUUUCUCAUCAAUACUGAAAUCUCGAUCUACAAAUUGUUUCCCUGAAAUCCAAAAAUCUAAACUAGUUUGUUGGAUUAUCAUCAGGUGGUGGAGCUGGUGAUUCUGCAGCUGUUGGCAUGUGGAUUAGUAUUGGUGUCGUUGGUGGUAGUUUCGGUGAUGGUGGAUGACCUGUUCUUUUUUUCGGUUCAUCUAUUGCUACUGUAACCAUCAAUUGUUUGUAUAGUUAAAUCAGUUUGUAAAGGUUGCAUGAUUCUUAACAUUAUUGCUGCUAAAGAGCAUUGAUUUGGAUUUGGUUUUCCUGUUGUUUUCUUAGUUUUCAAACUGGAGAUCAGGUUGGGGUUUCUCUGAAAUUGAAUGAAAAUUGUGGAGUAAACAAAGAGAUUGAUGGGUUCAUAAGUAGACACUUGAUUUUGUAUCCAAGCUGAUAAAGAGUUUGACACCAAUUACUGAAAGCACAUUACCUUGUUGUGCUCGAGUAAUGUUAUGAAGCUAUAGAAAGUUUUAAGCAAAAUAGGCCUCAUAUUUUUUAAGGUUGUUAACCUUGAGAUGGAGCAUGCGAUUAACCAUUUGUGUUUCGAGUGUAUGAUGUCGACGCCAAAUACCAUAACAUGCCUUUGAAGGGUAUUGUUGAAUGCACAGAGUGAAGUCGGCAUCAGGAUCAAGAACACUUAAACUCUGGAUGAUCCCUUCAAUGAUGAAUUACUUGUUCGGUGGUUCUUGAGAGUUUUUAUUUGUAGGGUUUCAAUUUAAUAGCUGGAAGAAAACACAAGGAAACCCAUAAGGGAAACACCAGAAUUCUCAGUGUUAUACAUUACAGUAUCAGUGGCAGCAGCAACCAUGGUGAAGUACUCGUUAGAGCCAGGUAACCCUACCAAAUCAUGCAAAGCAAGGGGUUGUUGGCAUUGGUUUCACAAAGAGCAUUGAAUGGACAGGGUUCCUCUUCCUACACGUCUUUAUAGUGCAGUGGGGACAAAUUUGUCUAGUAGUAUACCGAGUCCCAGUCCUUCUAGCAGCUUCAAGAAAAGUUCACCACCCUAUAUUCUGGACCUAAACCAUCUGUUCCGCCUGCAAGUUUUUCUGAUCUUGAUAAUAAGGUGCAAAAUAUAGACCUCAAGAGCUGUAUGAAGCCGCACGGAGGCUACUUACAAAGCGUCUGUAUAUUCCUCUACCUACUGCUGAAGCGAGAGCCUGGGUUAUUCGUAGUCUACUCGAGAAGGACUUGUUGUUCAAGCUCUCAGAAGAGGAUACCAAUGCCAUCUGCAGAAUGACUGAAGGUUAUUCAGGAUCAGACAUGAAGAAACUGGUCAAAGAUGCAUCUAUGGGACCAUUCAGAGAUGCUCUUAGACAAGGAGAAAUUGUAAAAUUGCAGAAGGAGGAUCUAAGAACAGAAAUUGUAAAAUUGCAGAAAGAGGAUCGAACAGUUACUAUUCAGUCCCCAUACCGAGGAUAUACAGAUAAGUGGGGAAGGAUCCAAGGAUACCCGUGCAAGUGAUACUGGCGGUCCCAUGCCGAGGAUACACGGAUAGGCGUGGUACGAACCGAGGAUACUCGUGAAUUUAAGAGGAUUUGAUAGAUUAUGAAUUUAUUUGAUGAAUAUAUGCAUAAUUAAAUCCUUGAAAUUGAUCCAUAUACUCUUGUUGUAAAUAUCCUGUUUGAUUGGUUGACAUGUUUUGAUAUAUUUUGAGAAACGGAAUGCAUUCUAUUGAGCCGUCAUCUCACCCCAAUUG